CACAAUACCCGUGAAUUUACGCUUUCAGUUUUUUUUCUUCAACACGUCUAUAUUUAUUUUCUAUAUCCAAGGUGGUACUAAUCUCAUCCGAAAAAAAGUUGUUUUCCUUACGUUUAUUUGUUUUCCGUGCGUUUAUUAGAUUGGGCUAUUGCGAUGCGUCUCAAUUGGGCUGGGCGAGACCGAGUAUUUAUUUGUUUGUUUUCUUGUUAUUUCAUCAAUCGAUCUCCUUCUUUCUUUCGUCCGCAAAGGACACCCGGUCUCCUUCCUCUUCUUCUUUGAUACAACCCUGUCUUCUUUCUCUUUUUAGUCCAAUCUUCCACUUUUCAAUCCUUUUUGUGAUACAAAUAAAUACAUCUAUUCCAUCGAACAAGCCCUCCCAAGGAGAGGACCAGCGUCGUCCCCGGCCUCUGGCGACCGGCCGGCGAGCCCAACGCCGGAGCACCACCAACACCCGCAGCCCCCAGCGCCCAGCCUUCCUACACGCUCAAGAGCAGGAGACGAACGCCCGCUCGGGAGGAGAACCCGAGUGCGCCCGCGCCACCCUGAGCCGCCACCGGGGGAAGCUCCCGCCGCUCGCCGGCGACGUGCAGGAUCCCGCGACCCCAACGCCGCCGCUCUGCCUGCCUCCUCUCUCUCUAUUUCUUCCUUCCCUUCUUCUCUGGUUCUCUCUCUCAUAUUUCUCUCUCUUCACUGUCCCGUAGCAGGAACAGCCGCUGGCGCUCGUCCCCGACCAACUCCGGUGCCCUGGCCUCACCGCCAAAGCUGGGAGCCAUCCCCACCGGCCGGAUCUGAUGCGCAGCCACCUCGCUGUUGCGCCGCCAUCACCCCUGCAACGGAUCAUCCCGCCCUCCACCUCUUUUUCGUCGGGGAGACGACGAACUCGUCCUCGAGCAUUGACCGCGCGCCCGCGUUCGUGGGCUGCAUCCACGGGCGAUCGAUCACCGCCUCAUGUACGCCGCCGGGCGUCGGACUAAUUUUCAUAAGCUUCAUUCAUAUGUGACAUCAGGAAGCUUCAAAAAACAGGAGAAGUGCAAGAAAACGUCGCCCCAAACAAAUCGCAACUUGCCAGCCUCCGCAACAGCCGUCAGAACCAUGGCUCACAGACGCCUGCUCCGCGGAUCGGCGGAUCCUUCCCUGGUGCCAUGCUUCAGCGGCUUGUGCUGCUCGGUAUCCCUCGUCCAAAUAAUCGGUAUGUCUGUUCAAAAAAAAAUCGGUAUGUGUCCUUCCUGCGGCUACACCUUCAGGAUUUUCACCGCCACCAUGCUUCGGAGGCUUGCUGUUGUUCUUGUCCUCUUUGCUGCUGUGCGCAAGCGCACCUACGCAUAUAUGGUUCUGGCCCAGGGAGCACAACUCUCUAACUCUGGCCCUUCUGUCGUUGAUCUAGGUAUGCACCCCCGAUGCUAUUACAGCUAAUCUCUGAUAAAGAAGUUUUUGGUCCUGAUGCAACUCAUUGACGAACGCAAUUAGGCUUGUAGACUGGCUUCCAAUCUCCAUUGAUUCUCAUUCAUGCACUGACUGCUAUUCUAAACAAUUAUUAUUAGAUAUUAAUAUUAAUGGAGCAUCAAUGUUUUUUGAAAAAAAUUAAUAAGCAGAUAACUCAAGGCUUUCAUUUUUUAUGUAGAUAAGCAGCAGGAGUAUUUCAUAGAUCACGGACCCCAUGUAGUCUGACGUUCAAGGAGGGAAUCUGGCUCAGGAUGCCUGUGUCCAUAUUGUACUUUUGAUAUCUGACUUUCAUAUUGUACUAUGAUGAUCGUGGAUCUUGUGUGCAUAUUGUACUUUUGAUGAGCUACACUUUUAAGGAAUCUGAUUUCAGGAGUCUGAUGGUCAGGUAAGUGUUAAUGUGUUAUUUAGUGUUAGUUUAGUGCAGCUGCUCCCCUGAGGCCCUGACUGGCUUCUUAGCUCCCUCUCCACUUACCUGUCAGCUGGGCGUGUUGAUUCGAUCUUUUGAUCUGGAAAAAUUGACACACUAGGACGUACACAAAAACUUUAAGGUUAGUUCGUACAUGAUUGAAUCUUCUCCGUGCAAAAACUGACAAUACACAAAUUGUAGCAAAAUCAAUGAGGAGCUGAAUCUGCAGUCUUCCCUUACCGCCCAGUAGUUCCCAAUUUAUUUUUGGAUUUUUAUUGUUAUUUGGUAAGCAUAGCACCUGAUUUACAGUGAAGUGCAUCUAUCAAUUUAAUUGUUUGACCGUUAAUACACAGUACAUCCGUGUCCAUGUCGUCAACGUGUUGCUCGCCGACCGUACUGUUCUCGAGAUCCGCCUUGAAGACGGUGGAUCGGGCCUUCAGCACACAUCGUUCGUUAGCAUCUCCGCCUGAUGCUUCUAUAGGAAGAGAGACCCCCAUACUUAUAUUUUUAAUCCACAUGGAUAGUACAAUUUUUUUUAAUCCACAUGGAUAGUUCUGUAGAAAAAUUGUUACUUUGUAGUCUUCUUAACUUGGCUAAUGAAUAUCCACUCUUCAUGUGACAAGAAGUGCAUGAACUUGGCUAAUGUUUAGGGGCAUAAGCAUGAUCAUGUCAAAAGUGCAUACAAGCAUCAUGUAAUUAUGUUCUUACAGAGAUAACAUUCAGUUUAGUAAUCUCUCUUGGCUGAGGGAUUUGACUACCCUUCAUCAGAGCGUGUUAGAGCUAUGGAUACUGAACUCGCAAGAUUCCUUUUUUGUAUGUCCGCAGGGAAGUGUUGACUACUUGAACAUGCUGGAAAGUGUUGACUACUUGGAGUAACUUGCAAGUAACAGAUGUUUUGACAACAAUAACUGCUACCAAUGAGGACCACUGGCAAGAUAUAGCACAACAACCUGGUCCCUGUUCCGUAAAGGUUGGCCUGAUCCCUGUUGAAAUCAAUUUGGCGUGGUACAUUAGUUGUAUUGUUCACCCUGCAUGUUUUUUUUCACUUUCCUAAAGUAUGUUUGAGUAUAGCUUAUGGUUUAUUUAUAAGCUUGUGAGUUAAUUAAAGCUCACUUGGUGGUUCUAACUAAUUAUACUAAAAUAUGACCAUGACCGAAAGAUAGAUGGAGGUUCAGAUGCAGAGUGAAAGCCUGCACCAACAAGUUGUAGUUGUAUAUGGAACCUGGCGACUUGAUGGUGAGCACUAACCUUCACUCCGCAAGAAUCCUUUUUGACACUUACUCUGUAGAAAAUACCUUUCAGUUUAAUAUAUUCUGCUAUUGUGGUUAAUAGAUCAAUGAACAAUCAUUUGAAUUGUGCUCCAUGAUAUUCAAGCUACUAUUGUAAGAAAUUGAAAGAUGUUCAUGUUUUGCCGCCCUCGUGUUUGUCUUGACACGCUGGCGCUACUGUUAGUUGCUUUCCACGCAAAUAAGAACAUAAUACAUCAACACUCUUCUUAGUGUUGGUGUUGAAAUACAGGACUUUGAUGUGGGAUGUAGCCAUGCUUAUUGGACUAGGCAUCUAAGAAUUUUUUUCCCGUUGCAACGCACGGGUAUUUUUGCUAUCUUUCCCUAAUAAUAAAGCACGGAUUGACUUUGUCGGGUUCACCGUCACAAUACGCUUCUUCCCGUGAUUUUACGCUUUCAGUUUGAAUUUAAAACAUAUUCGAGGUGGUACUAAAUUUUCGCUCUAUCUAUUUCACCGCGUCUGAUUUUUUUCCGUAAGUGGCUGAUUCGCUGAAAAAAUAUGGUUGACGCCGCUGGGAUUUGAUCCAUGGUCUGCCAUGUAUAGAUUGCAGCGCAGCAGACCACUAAGGCUAGGCUCCUAAGCUUGCUAAUUUGGGCGUCUGGAACCUUAAGAAUAAAGGACAGGCGUACUCGGGCCGAGAUCAACAGGCACGGUCGUGAUGGGCAUGUACGAGUGCGGCGGCCCACUGGACGGACAAGGGACCAGGCUGGAAGUUGUUUUUCAUAUUUGUUUACUUGUCAAAUAGUCCCACCUUGCUAUUUUACAUUAAUUUUUACCAGUUUAUAUACAAUUUUUAGGUUGUCAGGCAUCAAGAAGCUGCUUUGGAAAUUAAGCAAAGAAAUAAAGAAAGGAAAUAGACAUUCUUUGCAUGAGAAAUAAAGAAGGAAGAUGGUAAUUAUGUGGAGCCGGCAAGAAAGGCCUAGCAAAAAAGGAAAAAAUAAUUGCAUGAGAAAUAAAGAAGGAAGGAGAAAGAGAGAGGAAGGAAAUGGACGGUAAUUAUGUGGGCAUCAUGAUAUAAGGAAAGAAAGAGAAAGAAAAACUAAUUAACAGGAGGUGCGGGAAUCAAUGGCAGGUUGCCAUGCCAUCUUAUGAGUAAAAAUGAUGUGGCAUUUUUUAAUCCUCACUAAAUUCAUGUCAUUUUUUUCUUCCAUUAUGUUUUCCUUGCUCUUAUAAUCUUUACUAAAUUUGCGCCAAAUUUGUAGCACAUUGAACAUUAUGUUUGCACAUACAAUCCUCACUAAAUUUAUGUCAAAUGUUUCAACCGUUCUAACCCACAGGCAUAUAUAGUAUUUUUAAUAUAUAAAUGGAGGUAUAAUAUUAUUGGUCCUCCCAUUUCGUAUGUCCAUGGUGUUUCCUCAUAUUGAGCUAGGCUAUUCUACUAAUCGUCUGUCUUGGGCCACUUGGCCUCUGCCACGUUCGCCCGCGUAAUGUUCCACCAGUAAAAAGAACCGGUGCCCUCCCAACAUGUCCGUGCGACCUGGCCCAACAAAUCAAACCCACCACCCCUUUUAGGAGAUGAGGCAAAAAAUAGUUGACCGUUACUGGAAUAAAACUCACAACCUCCAGUGUGUUUUGGCGUUGAUCGUGUUACCCUACAGAAAAGUGUUGAUCAUUUUAAAAUAAAAUUAAAUUUAGUUUUUGUUUGGGUCCUUCACGGAUUGGUACUAAACUAAUAUGAUGUAAAACCAGAUAACAUAAACACAAGGCACAAGUAUUUCAUUGUGUAGAUGUGGGUCAUGUGGCCGGGAUCUCAAACGCGAGCGUUCGCUGGUCUGUCCAUGCAGGUGAUGCAAUUCUUUAUUGGUUCCAAGCUUACGUGGAAUGUUCACCGUGUAGUGGACAUCGUUACCGACAAUGAUGACAAAGAAAAGAAGUGGUAACAGGGAUGGGGGCGCUAGGGGUGAUAAUUUAUUUCUCCCGUUGCACUUUUGCUAGUCUUAAUAAAGCACGGAUUGACUUUGUCGGAUUCACCGUCACAAUACGCUUUCUUUGAAUUUACGCUUUUAGUUUAAAUUUAAAAUAUAUAUCCGAGGUGGUACUAAUCUAUCGCGGGAGCCAACGAUCGAUCGCUAGCUCGCCAUGCAGGAUUGACUGCCAGAUGGGCCUUUGCUACUAGAUGGGCCGGCCAGACUGUGUCCAACUUUACGUUUACCUUGUGUCCAUGCCCAAAAUAUGCCGCCGGCCCCGACUCCUCCAACGCUCGCCGCCAUGGCCGAGGAUACGGUACACGAGCACGGAGGCGGAUGGGAUAGUGUGGUAAUUGGCGCCUCCCAGCAGCAGAGAGCGCGAGAGAUUUAGUAGCUGACCAUCACGCCAAGGGAUGCAAGCAACAACGUCACCCAAGUGCCCAUGACGGCGAGUGGGAUGAGAAAGGGGCUACAAAAGCGUCGGAGUUGGAGGCGCGGUGGCUGGGAAAAGAGCCAGCGGGAGACGGAGAGGCUCACCGGAGGACACGCGCGGCGGCGCGGUCGCGUGUGAGGCGGCCGGCUACAGGAGCGUGCAGGCGGCGCUCGGGCACUGGCGACGCCAUGGUCUUCUGGCGAGGCGGGCGAGCACGUACAUGAAGGCCGCGGGGGGCACGCUGCCUGGGCGAGAGGGGAGGCGCGAAGGAGGCGGUCGUCGCCGGUGGCGGGGCCGGAUGCGUCAGAUGCGCGCGCUUGCCUGCAGUCAACGCAGACAGACAUAGCGGCCAUCCAUGGCAGCGAGCGGCUCCGGGGGCGGCGACGGGGUUGGGUGGUUCAAGCGGCCGCUUCUGCAGCUACAUGGGAGACGUCCAGGAGUGAUUUAGUAGGAUGUCGACCCUAAACUAUGGAAAGCAAGCAUCCAAUGGAGAAGUGUUGUUCUGAAAAAUGGGUUCAUAACUUUUCAUAUGCUAAACUGAAACCAUGCAUAUUUGAAUAGCAGGAUUAGAGGGGUUUUUUAUUCAGAAUCUAGAGUUUGUCCGGCAUUGCAUCAUCAAGUAAAAGAUUGUAGUUUGUAUUCCUCAUGUCUGCUGCACUUGCAGGGUCAGAGUUGGUUGCCAUCCCCUGGACAGGGCGCUCUAGGGCGUGUUGGCGUGCUUGAGUAGACGAAACACUGAUGUUAGCUGCAAGGUGGAGAAGGAAUACCCCAUGGAUGGAUUUUGGUAGCUCUGAUGACAACAGUUUCAACUUAGUAAGUCAUAUGCUGAUAUUCAUAUGACUGUGAUCUCGGAAAUAAAAGUUCAUAGGAAAGUAACAGAAACCUUCACUGAACAUAGAGUUGUGUUGUAUCUGUACCGAGAAAAGUUUGUAGAGUAUGAAAAUAUGUUUCGAGACGAAACAAAUUAUGAUUAUUAGUCAUAGCAGUUGUAGGAACAGAUGAAAAUUGUAUUGCCGGUUUUAGCAGGUGUGCUGGUGCUCACAUGCUUAUCCAUUGUGAUAUGGGUUUGCAGGUCCAAAGGCACAGCAUACUAUGCUCAUGCAUAUGUGACAUAAACCAAUUCUACAUUAUGCAGCUCACAAACACUACAAAAUUACUAGGGCUAGGAGAUUUGUGCACUUAUGAAGGUUUUUGGACACGAAGGUUUUGAAUUUUCAUAUUAAGCUUCAAAGAUGUUACAUCUAUUAACCUGUACUCAUAUUAGGCCAACGUUGUCCAAUAUUGCUGGGGGAUUUUCCCUUUUUUUACAAAUCAUAAUCAGUCUGUAACCUGGGCGUGUACGAAAGUUGUCUGCACUUUUUUCUGUUUAAUCUGGGCGUCCAAUCUUUGUAAGCUGGGCUUUACCUGUACUUUAUCAUACGGAAACCAAUUAAAUGAAAACUGUUUGAUUCAAUGUUUGCCAGUCUGUGUUUAAUUCUCUGUUUGCUCCCUGUUUGAUUCAAAUCCAUGAACAAGUAAGUUCUUUUUCUCCCUGUUUGAUUCAAGUCUGAAAUAUUCAUAGAUGCUACACUUCAGUCAGUAAAUGAACAAAAAACUAGGACUGAACUUUUAGUCAGUUUUGUGUCAACGAGUAAAUCUGUGUGCUCGAGAUUACAAUUACUUUGAAUAGAGAAAUUAAGAAAAAUAUGUGGAAUCAUCACCACCCCUUAAUUGAUCUGGUGGCGGGAUGUAGAAAUUCAAUCUACUUGGUGGAGACGUACUGGCAUGUGAUGUCGUCCAACUAAUAGCCGUUAUAUGCCUUCCAUUGUGUUUUAAUUUUUUCUCUUGCAUUGCCUGGACUACCUGAUAGAAGCUCCUAUCAGCUAAUAUUACAACCAGAGCGGCAGACAUGUCCAUGUUUGGUGCUGCCAGCAGCAAGCAAUACAGGGUAGGUUUUGUAAGUGCUAACAUUGUAAAUUAAUAGGAUUUAUCUUUUUUUUUGUAUUAAGGAGUUCUAUUCUUUUGCUUCAUACAAAGAUUAUUGUACUAUUAAUUAGUCUAUAGUGGAAAAGUCAAAGAGUAUCAUACUCAGGGUCAGUUAAGUAGUUGGAAUAUUUGUAACCAUGCACUAACCUGAAAGUUAGGCAUACUAAUUAAGCUUUAUUGGUUUUUAAGGCAGUUCAAAGGGAUAUCUUCCUAGGUAGUCAAAUGUACAAUGCACAAUAUAAAAAUGUAGUUAUGUUUCUCAUCUCCUCCCAAUUGCACAAUCAUUCUUUGUUAUUAAUUUCACCACAACAGAAUUAUUGUAAUAGUUUGCAUCUUCAUGAUUUUAUAUAUUUACUUGUGUGGUUACUCUGGUUAACAAAGUAAUUUGCUAGAUGCGCUUAGAAAUAUUACUGUUAUAUAUGGUGUGUGACUUGCAUGGUUUCAUUUGGUACAUUUUCAUUACUACUAAACUUAGACAUAUGUACAUGUUCAUUGAGGUCGAAUGGUCAUUAUCGAAUUUGAAAUUAUCAAAUAUGCGGAAGGUAUGUUUCAACCGCUGAGGUGUAUCCCUAGCAGGAUCUUCCUAGGUAGUCAAAUGUACAAUGUAUAAAAAAUUGAAGGGCGAAAUUAAAGGAAAGUGGCAUCAACCACAAACCUCGGUAAGAUCGGAAGGUGAAGAUUUUGAUGGAGAAACGAAAGAGAGGGGCCGAAAUUAAAGGACUAUGGCAUGUUAAACCACAAACCUUGAUAAGAUUGGAAGGAGAAGAUGGAAGAUGAAAGUGGCAACACGAAUGAGUCGCUUGACGCAUAAGAGGAUUUUGUUCUCCCAUUGCAACGCACGGCCUUUUUUGCUAGUCUUUCCCUAAUAAUAAAGCACGGAUUGACUUUGUCGGGUUCACCGUCACAAUACGCUUUCUUCUCGUGUCAGAAUACGCUUUUACAAUUUGUCCAGGGUUCACCCUCACAAUACGCUUUCUUCUCGUGUCAGAAUACGCUUUUAUAAUUUGUAUGGACAAAAUCCUAAUAUAAACGAGGUGGUACUAAUAUAAAUAUAAACACGAUUCAACGAGCCCUGUCUCACGCACGAUAACUCCAGACGCCCUCCGCCGCCACGCCCCCAUCCCUCCAACUCCGCUGCGCACGGGAGCAGGGGGAACCUGCGACGGAGGUGGCAUGAUCUCCGGCAAGCGGCGGGUUCGAGCGGUGGGGCCGGGAUCUGGUGGCGGCGGCGAGCUCCUAUAGAUCGGCGGCCUGUCCUCUCCUCUGCGUACGCACAAGGCACAAUAGCACGUGGUCCUCUCCCUACACGGCACGGCACCGCCGCCACGCGCGGCCAGUCUUCCUCUCCAGCUACCCUCGAGCAGCGCCGUCGUUGCCCUGUUCUUCUUCGCCUCCUCACCCGCCCCAACUCCUCACCCCCAGCCCUCUCCACCUCGAGGCGGACGUCUCUGAUUUGGAUAGGAGUCGAUGGCGUGUUCACGAUGGAAUACUGCUCCAACACGUAGCUAUGGGUCCAACCCGAAUAUCAGAUCAAUCUCCCAGCCAUAAGAAGAAACCCUAGAGUGGAAGCACAAGUAAAUCGCAUUGCAAGUUUGUAAGACGAGAUUGUUGUGCGGGAACUGUCCAAUCUCGCCUCCACCUACUUCGCCGGAAGACCAUCUGCAAUCCGACGUUGCUCUACACAUCGCCGGAACUCCGAGUGCCGGUUCUCCAUGAGGUAUUGCAUACUGAAGACACAAGGAGAAUUGGAAUCAUGCUAUUUGUUUUUCUAGAAACCUACAGUUAAUGAAGCAAACAUAAACUGAACCUUAGUGUGCUACUUCCUGAUCUUCAGCUAAUUUUUCAUUGAUUGAUUCAUUGUUGUGUUUAGUUAGUCUAUCCACAAGCUAGAGGGACUAGGUUAAUUAAGAACAAUGUCUAAGGUAAUGAUUCACUAUGUACAGGUUGCUACCAUGUCAUAUUUGGUUGGCUUAGAGUGACAAGUAUUUCAAGGGUAAUCAAGUUGAUAAGCACCAGCUUAAAUUCAACCAAAAAUUUUAUGGCGUGAUCUCAAAUCUGUGAGCACACGAACCAGGGAACUUCACCCAGCCAUUCUGGAUUUUUUAAUUGAGAGACAACUAAUUUCUCAUUGUUUGAUUCAUCAUGCUUACUCGCUCUGUCCUAGAGAGACUAACAUUGUUCUCCGAUCUGGUUGAUUCACUUCAGUUAAAUUUUCCAGUAGCUUCAGCUCUGUACAUUGGCAUGAAAAGGUGUUUGCCGUUUAGACGAAUUAACUGUUGGAUACUCCAUGAAAGAGGUAGGCCCAUCGCAUGAUUAGGAAGAAUAAGGUGUAUGCUAUACUUGAACAGAUUCCGUUAAGGAGACCAUUUAGCAUGGUCUGCUGGUUAUAGCCUUCUGUCUUGAACUGUAGGCAGAAGUGAAUUUGCUGCUUUGCGCACUCAGGAAGCUGAUUUCGUGUCGUGAACUCUACAGUUGCAUAUAUUUAGUCCCUCUACACAAGCAGGCACAAACGUCCUUUUGAUUUAUUUAUUUUUGAAUUAGGCCGCAUAAGUAGGCAGCAGUUACAAUCAAUGGUGAUGCAGAUUGAAGUACAGGCAAGAUUGCACCUUUACUAACAUCAGUAUCAACUAUCAAGUAUGUUUAAUCUCAUUUAUCCGUAAGCUUAAUAUGUUGUAUACUUGUAUGGUGAUGCAGAGUUGAAGUACACUGCAAUCUGCACUGGGAUGUCCGUAAGCUUAAUCUCAUUUAUCCAUUGAAGGAGGUCGUCCUUGUGAUCACUGGAAACAUGUUUGUGAUUGAGGCACACAGCAAAAUGGCUCACACUCACCACCAUUACUCGAAGGACCAUCUCCAUAUACGAGUUGCUUUACCUGAAAGCAGAUUUCUGAAGAUAUAUAUUUUUUCGUAUUUGUUUUAUAUUUUUCGUCAACUGGUUGUUUAUAUUGGUGGAGAUCCAGUGCUUUACAGAGCCCGCAUAUAAAGGUAAUGUGUAUUGCUAUUUUUCUUACUUAGUAGCAUUAGAAUCUCCCCAUCUCUUUAUACGGAGGUGAUGGCGAAGGAGGAAGAGUUGUGUCAGGCCCAGCUCAAGCUAGAUGAAGAAGAGGAGGCCAGAAAGAGAGAAUCAGCAAGGCAGAAGCCUUUUGAUCUCAAGGCAUGAUUCUGCGGGUUGGUGAGCUACUAACAAAGACACACCUCUAUUCUGAAUUUCUACUUGAAAAAGAUGGACCAUCAGCUACGGAAUAUGUUCGCUGUUGACAUUGGUGGUGGUGUCUUUUGGUUCAACAUGAAGUUGUUUAAGUGAAAAAUGCAGUGGAACAUGUGGAACAAAGGACGUGGUAUGGAAAGGAAAGCAAAGCAAAGCCUAAACAGUACAAUGAUGCAGAACAUGCAGCCCCCAUCAUCCACAACCUUGAUUCCACAAUAUACCCCGCUGAUAUGAUCUAGAGGAGCGAGGAGCUGGGCAAGGAGUCACUGCCGGUUCACAUGACCAAGAAGGGGUACGCGAUUUUGGGAAGAGAUGCAGGAAAACUGGAAGAAGAUUGACUUCAGUCGCUUCGGCAUCGCAGGCAGCGCCGACGGGAUCCUGCUUUAUUCCGAAGAACUGAUUUUAUAUGAUUCUGAACCUAGCCGUCCAACAUCAUAUCUGUCCAGCUAUACAAGCUUGUAUGCAGCCAAGUUAGUUGCUUUAUUAUGGACUCAACGAGGAAGAGCACUACCACUUUUUCAGAAUUUGAUUUUGUGAACCUUCAUGUUGCACUAUCACAUAUUGCACAUGAGUUGAUUCAGGUUUCCAGAGUUCAGACCACAACAAUCAAUCGGUCUGAAGGUGCUCCUGUUUUAUAUCAGAUCGUGAGGAAUGGGGACCCUUUUCGGAUAUUUGACUACUAUAUUUGCAUGCCGGAGUUCGCCGCCGUCUGCCGUGCUGUGAUUUUUGGCCCGGAUGAUAGUCCGUGGGAGGGAGGUUAGUUGAUCUAGCUGUAUUUAGUAGCUAUUUCAAUAAUGUUAUAGAAUCUUUGCUAAACACCUUUGGUGUUGAUUGUUCUUGAAAAAAGAAUUGGCAUAAUUCACUUCGUGGAUGAAAAAAGAAGUUGCAUGUCCUUUAGUCAGCAAAUCAAGUUGAGCGAUGCAACAUGUUGGGGAAAAGUCGCAGGUAUGUCCUGCACUGCACGCAUGUGAGGCGAAUGAUUUUUCUUGAUGCAUUGUCGUCCAGUACAUGGUGUUUAUCAGUACUACUCCAUCCGUAAACUAAUAUAAGAGCGUUUAGAUAACUAUUUUAGUAUUCUAAACGCUCUUAUAUUAGUUUACAGAGGGAGUACUAUUUUGUUCUUGUCUUAAUUGAGUCUCAUGCAAACUGAUAAGCGGAUGGUAAACACCUCUCUCUAUAUUGAAAUAUGUGUUGAUUGAUUUAUACAUGGUUUUUGAUUUUAUCAUAUGAAUAGCUUUAAGAAUUUGACAACAAGUCCAGUGGAAUCUCAUUUCUUUAAGGACACCAGCGUCUAAAUGCACAGUUGGUUUAUUGAGUUUGUAGAGCCUAUUUCUUUCAGGCGCUGCUUGAAUUAGCCGGGAAAAAGUGUAGUUGGUAUGUUAUUUCGAAUGCAAUUUCAAGUAGUAGUACACAAUGAAUAACUUCACCAACCAAGUAACCCUGAGAUAGUUUAAAACAUUUGAAGCGGUCUUUCUUCUCAUGGUAGGACAUUAAAAGUCUAUUAUAUUGUUUCAGGAACUGUUUCAAGGAAAAGAUAAAUACUUUGAUGUCCAAAAGGCUUUAUCAGCGAACAUUAGCGUGACUUUAAUGGGACAAUAUCCAUGGUUUUGCUAAUAUUGAUGACUUCUUUUCGGAAAAUACAUGUACUCUUCAUAUAGGCAAUUUUAAAAUAUUACACAUCAUAUAUCAAUCUAAUGUAAGAUAUCGAAAUGUAUAACAACUAGAUUAUGCUAAAAGUGUGACCACCAUAACUGGUGGGGCAAAGAAAAGUGACAACAUAUAAGCAUUUGUUUCUCCCGUUGCAACGCACGGGCCCUUUUGCUAGUAAUAAUAAAGCACGGAUUGAGUUUGUCAGGUUCACCGUCAUGACUCUUUUGCGAAAAAGUCCUUCCGUUUUUUUGGAAAUCAACCCGCAGUCUAAUAAUAAGUGAUUUGCAGGAGAAUAACGAUUCGAUCGUUCGGGCCAACAGGACUGUCUUCGGCCUCAAAGGAUAGACGCACGGUAUGGAAAAAACAAACAAGGAGAGAUCGGGCAUGACUCCUCCAUAGAGCCACGAUGGAUCUCGCCUCCACCAAGUUACAUAUUACGAGGAAACAAAAUCAUCGUCACACAUCCGAUUCCUUCCUCCUCCGCACGCACGAAGCCGCCGCCGCUGCUUCUCACCUCGCCGCUAGAUCGGAAUCGAAGUCGUUGCUCAAAUCAAGAGAGAGAGAGAGAGAGAGAGAGAGAGAGAUCGGAUCAUAGGCGGACGAGCCGCCGGCGAGGAAUCCACGUCGGGUGGCUAUUCGUGGCCUCUCAAGCCCUCUCUUACUCCCCCCUCCUCCACCUCCCACCGCCCGGGCGCCGUCACCUCACCUUCCACAGGCCCCCUCGACCCUCGGCUAGACACCACGGCCGGGUCGCCGCCCCUCCCACCGCGAGGAAGACGACGACAGAGCAAGGCGGCGGCGCUGGGCUGCACGUCGAGCCUCCCUCAGUGGCCUCCGUCCUCCAUACCGAUGCUCCGUCCCCCGUUUCAAUCGGCUCUGCUGCAACUUCGCCUGAAGACCGGUGCUCUGCCUUGACCUGCUCUGCUUCGGUCUAGAUCGAUACAAAUAGAGGGAGCACAUUUAAAGAGUCAUCGCUGCAGAGUUUGACACCACAUUUUCUUUGGAUGAUUGUUCGCCUCUCUGAAUCUAGCUUUUUUUAACGUGACCACUUCAAUUGAAUUGCUUAUUUGCAUUACAUACAGUGACCAAAACUAAUGCUUUGAUAUUGUCGCCUCCGCCGAGUUCGCCGGAAGAACAUCCGCCGCCAGAGCGUGCUACACCUGAGCCGGAAGAACAUCUGCUGUCCGAACGUGCUACACCACAGAUGUGGAAACUAAAAGGUGUAUAUAAUGCAGAGGAGGCAAUGUUCAGUUCCUAGGUGCGUAGGUGCAGCCCUGGCCCCAAUAGCCUUGGACGGCCUGAACGGCGCGGAUGAGUGCUUCUCCCUAGGGAGGGCCAUGUCGCCAUCGGCGAGACCCGGCCUGAGCCGGCAGACUUCUGGUCUCAUUAUUUAUUUUGUGUUCAUCAAAGUUUAUUUAUUUUGCACCAUAUCGUAGUAUGAUCGUGGGACACAGGCAGAGAUGGCCAUGAUGCUAGCUGAUAGCACCUCUUAACUUCAGAAGUAUACAUGCCUUUUCUCUAAUUAAAAGAGAGUUUCUUACCAACUAUUGAGCCUACCAGUUAUAUAGAUUUAUGACUCUAAAGCCACUACUCAACUUCAGGUGGUACUCUGCUGUAGAAUAAACCUCCAUAAUUCUCCAUCUAAGAUACUGAAGUUUAUUGAUGAUUCUUUAUUUCAGGAUAUGUGGAAAAGGUAUUUGCACUACAUUUCAAGGCAGAUAGUAGAUUACAUGGCUAAGCAGCCCACCUAUAUUACUAAUUGUUUAUUUUGUUAUUUAAAUUAAAAUGGUUUAUGUAUUCUGUCGAAGCAUUCACAUGCCUUAUUAAUUUCAGGAAAACCAAUUUAUUAUUUAAUGGUUCA